UGCAAAUGAUGUGAGAGAAUAUUUGCUAUCUGACCACCGGUGUUGACACAUCUCACCAAGAUCGCUGAUGCA